UACGGAGGGUGCGAGCGUUGUCCGGAAUCACUGGGCGUAAAGGGCGCGUAGGCGGCGCAGGAAGUCAAAGGUGAAAGUUCGGGGCUCAACCCUGAAUCGGCCGUCGAUACUCCUGGGCUCGAGCACUGUAGAGGCAGAUGGAACUCCGGGUGUAGCGGUGGAAUGCGUAGAGAUCCGGAAGAACACCGGUGGCGAAGGCGGUCUGCUGGGCAGUUGCUGACACUGAGGCGCGACAGCGUGGGGAGCAAACAGG
rnacentral:rRNA from 1 species